rnacentral:rRNA from 1 species
GUCUGAUGCAGCAACGCCGCGUGGAGGAUGACACAUUUCGGUGCGUAAACUCCUUUUAUAUGAGAAGAUAAUGACGGUAUUAUAUGAAUAAGCACCGGCUAACUCCGUGCCAGCAGCCGCGGUAAUACGGGGGGUGCAAGCGUUACUCGGAAUCACUGGGCGUAAAGAGCAUGUAGGCGGAUUAAUAAGUUUGAAGUGAAAUCCUAUAGCUUAACUAUAGAACUGCUUUGAAAACUGUUAAUCUAGAAUGUGGGAGAGGUAGAUGGAAUUUCUGGUGUAGGGGUAAAAUCCGUAGAGAUCAGAAGGAAUACCGAUUGCGAAGGCGAUCUACUGGAACAUUAUUGACGCUGAGAUGCGAAAGCGUGGGGAGCAAACAGGAUUAGAUACCCUGGUAGUCCACGCCCUAAACGAUGUACACUAGUUGUUGUGAGACUUGAUCUUGCAGUAAUGCAGUUAACACAUUAAGUGUACCGCCUGGGGAGUACGGUCGCAAGAUUAAAACUCAAAGGAAUAGACGGGGACCCGCACAAGCGGUGGAGCAUGUGGUUUAAUUCGACGAUACACGAAGAACUCCGAUUG